rnacentral:rRNA from 1 species
CCUUCGGGGGGCAGCAGUGGGGAAUAUUGCACAAUGGGCGAAACCCUGAUGCAGCGACGCCGCGUGAAGGAAGAAGUAUUUCGGUAUGUAAACUUCUAUCAGCCGGGAAGAAAAUGACGGUACCUGACUAAGAAGCCCCGGCUAACUACGUGCCAGCAGCCGCGGGAAUACGUAGGGGGCAAGCGCUAUCCGGAUUUACUGGGGGUAAAGGGAGCGUAGGCGGUUUAGCAAGUCAGAUGUGAAAGCACGGGGCUCAACUCCGGGACUGCAUUUGAAACUGUUGAACUAGAUUGCAGGAGAGGUAAGUGGAAUUCCUAGUGUAGCGGUGAAAUGCGUAGAGAUGAGGAGGAACACCAGUGGCGAAGGCGGCUUACUGGACUGUAAAUGACGCUGAGGCGCGAAAGCGUGGGGAGCAAACAGGAUUAGAUACCCUGGUAGUC